UCAAAGAUUAAGCCAUGCAUGUCUCAGUACAAGCCAAAUUAAGGUGAAACCGCGAAAGGCUCAUUAAAUCAGUUAUGGUUCCUUAGAUCGUACCCACAAUUACUUGGAUAACUGUGGUAAUUCUAGAGCUAAUACAUGCAAACAGAGCUCCGACCGGAGACGGAAGGAGUGCUUUUAUUAGAUCAAAACCAAUCGGUGGCGGGGGUUCGCCCU
rnacentral:rRNA from 1 species